UUCAAACAGUGUUUGAAAACUUUAUCGUCAUCGCCGGCAUGCUUUGUACCUCAGGCUCAUCAGAGACAAUCGUAUCCAGCAUUUUAUCAAACUGUUGUCUGCUACAGAGUUAAAAGUAUUGUACUAGUAGUAAUAUAGCAUCCACCAUCUCCUGCUUGCAUAUUUCUGAAAACAUCUUAGUGGUGUGGCAGCCAUGGGUUGAGCCAGCCCUGCAAACCCUGUGGAUGGACGAUGCAGUGGACAGUGGGAGGAAGCAUCCUAAAGCUCUCUUUGCAGACCAGCCUGUGUGAUUCUCCACUCGCCGACCAGAAAAGACAAACGGCAGGUCUCAGUUGCAGCACCUCAUCCAUCCAUGUCUGAUCUUACAUCGGCAGAUUCAGCAACACAGCCAGAGACUUCCUGUAAUCUAUUACAGUUGUUAAAAAAA